rnacentral:rRNA from 1 species
CCUACGGGAGGCAGCAGUGAGGAAUAUUGGUCAAUGGACGAGAGUCUGAACCAGCCAAGUAGCGUGAAGGAUGACUGCCCUAUGGGUUGUAAACUUCUUUUAUAUGGGAAUAAAACGUUCCACGUGUGGGAUUUUGUAUGUACCAUAUGAAUAAGGAUCGGCUAACUCCGUGCCAGCAGCCGCGGUAAUACGGAGGAUCCGAGCGUUAUCCGGAUUUAUUGGGUUUAAAGGGAGCGUAGGUGGAUUGUUAAGUCAGUUGUGAAAGUUUGCGGCUCAACCGUAAAAUUGCAGUUGAAACUGGCAGUCUUGAGUACAGGAGAGGUGGGCGGAAUUCGUGGUGUAGCGGUGAAAUGCUUAGAUAUCACGAAGAACUCCGAUUGCGAAGGCAGUUCACUGGACUGCAACUGACACUGAGGCUCGAAAGUGUGGGUAUCAAACAGGAGUAGAUACCCCUGUAGUC